rnacentral:lncRNA from 1 species
AGCCCACUAUGUCCACUCAACCCUAAUCAGAUAGGCUCCAUUCAUUUUCUUUUUCCCAAAACUAAAUAGUAUUGCAAAAUACAAAAUGUUACGAAAUGGAGUGUUCUCCCAAAUUGAUGACCCAAAGAUUGAUUCAUAGAUUGAUUUUGAUGAUCACAAAACCUUGAAGUAUGGAUACUAAUGUUUAUGUUGCAAGGAGAAAGAUAUUUAUUUUGCAAGGAACAUAGCAAGUUGGAAGAACACAAGAAGGCCUCCAAAA